rnacentral:rRNA from 1 species
GAGUUUGAUCGUGGCUCAGGACGAACGCUGGCGGCGUGCCUAAUACAUGCAAGUCGAGCGAGCUGAAUUCAGAGAUCCCUUCGGGGUGAUUUGUUGGACGCUAGCGGCGGAUGGGUGAGUAACACGUGGGCAAUCUGCCCUAAAGACUGGGAUACCACUUGGAAACAGGUGCUAAUACCGGAUAACAACAUGAAUCGCAUGAUUCCAAAGUUUGAAAGGCGGCGCAAAGCUGUCACUUUAGGAUGAGUCCGCGGCGCAUUAAGCUAGUGUGGGUAAAGCCUACCAAGGCAAUGAUGCGUAGCCGAGUU